UAGGGAAUCUUCCACAAUGGACGCAAGUCUGAUGGAGCAACGCCGCGUGAGUGAAGAAGGUUUUCGGACCGUAAAGCUCUGUUGUUGGUGAAGAAGGAUAGAGGUAGUAACUGGCCUUUAUUUGACGGUAAUCAACCAGAAAGUCACGACUAACUACGUGCCAGCAGCCGCGGUAAUACGUAGGUGGCAAGCGUUGUCCGGAUUUAUUGGGCGUAAAGCGAGCGCAGGCGGAAGAAUAAGUCUGAUGUGAAAGCCCUCGGCUUAACCGAGGAAUUGCAUCGGAAACUGUUUUUCUUGAGUGCAGAAGGGGAGAGUAGAACUCCAUGUGUAGCGGUGGAAUGCGUAGAUAUAUGGAAGAAUACCAGUGGCGAAGGCGGCUCUCUGGUCUGCAACUGACGCUGAGGCUCGAAAGCAUGGGUAGCGAACAGAUUAGAUACCCUGGGUAGUCCAUGCCG
rnacentral:rRNA from 1 species